rnacentral:rRNA from 1 species
AUUGAACGCUGGCGGCAGGCCUAACACAUGCAAGUCGAGCGGAUGAAGGGAGCUUGCUCCUGGAUUCAGCGGCGGACGGGUGAGUAAUGCCUAGGAAUCUGCCUGGUAGUGGGGGAUAACGUCCGGAAACGGGCGCUAAUACCGCAUACGUCCUGAGGGAGAAAGUGGGGGAUCUUCGGACCUCACGCUAUCAGAUGAGUCUAGGUCGGAUUAGCUAGUUGGUGGGGUAAAGGCCUACCAAGGCGACGAUCCGUAACUGGUCUGAGAGGAUGAUCAGUCACACUGGAACUGAGACACGGUCCAGACUCCUACGGGAGGCAGCAGUGGGGAAUAUUGGACAAUGGGCGAAAGCCUGAUCCAGCCAUGCCGCGUGUGUGAAGAAGGUCUUCGGAUUGUAAAGCACUUUAAGUUGGGAGGAAGGGCAGUAAGUUAAUACCUUGCUGUUCUGACGUUACCAACAGAAUAAGCACCGGCUAACUUCGUG